rnacentral:lncRNA from 12 species
GCAUCCUUUGGUUUGGAAAUUUUGCUUGUCUCCAGAAAAAAUGUUUUAUUUUCAAAUUCUGUCAUUUAACUUUCAAUUAAUGUGACUAAACCCUCUCAGAAAGACUUCUUUCAAUGCUCUAGCUCGUUGCUUACUUGUGACAAAAUGUGUCAGGGCAGGUCUCAGGCUUCUAAGGUAGCAAAAUCAAGAAACCAUUUUCUGUUAAGGUUCAGAUGGUAUUGAUUUGGAUUAAAGUCUGUUGACAUAUAUAAUGGUAAAGGAAACAAUUUUCAGCUGGUGAAAAACUUGGACUUGAAAGAUAUUACAACACUGUGGGUCAAUGUCAGGAAGACAUCUGAACAAAUGCUGUUGAACAUCAAAGUCAUUGGAAGUGUCAACUGCUUGGAGAGAAUAUAAAGAAAACUUGAUGAAUUUCAUUCUGAGCUUAGGUAAAAAGAAAACCUAGAGAUAGUGCUAGAGAUAAGGAAGGAAGAAAAAAAGUUGUGUGGUCCUAAAGCAUACUUUUUGGCCCCACGCUGCAAAAACUCAUUGAAGAAUUUCCAGUUAUUAAAGCUAAAAGAUGUAUUGCAUUCAAGGUUGCAUAAUGCACUAGGAACGUUAUUUACUUAGAGAUGUAGAAGUGUUAUUUAUACAUUUGAUCACUUAAUUUAAUAGGUGAAUUUAUAUUCCUUGGCAGAGAGUUGGCAGAUGAGGGAAUUAUACAAAGAUAAUGGAAGGAGGACUGAUGGAGAUGAACACUGAUAAGAGAGUUCUAGCUCUUACCAUGCUUUUUGUGAUUCUGACUUUGGAGUGAGAUUCCCAGCGCCAUCAUGACUCACCUUUGAUGAGCCUCUCCUGUUUGGCACCUCAUUUCUGCUCAAAACUGCAGCAGUCUUGGAUCCUGAAUGAAGCUUCUGACAGCAAAGAAUCUUUUUUUAAAUACUCUGUUUUAGUCAGCCUACUUCCCAAAUCCUCUCUCUCACUGUCCCAAGAACCCAUUUCUUUGGAAAGAAAAGGAGCCUUCCAAGGACCUUCAGAGUGAGGACAUAAGAGCGAUGCCUCAUAGAAGAAAAGCCAUCCAGAUACACAGCCACUACAUGAUUAGAAACUGGAUCCCUGAGUCAUCGCUUGAAGGAGAGCCUCCUGACCAGGAACAUCUCCAUUGGACUUUACAUGAACGAGAAAUUAACAUUGACUUGGUAAGUUACUGAGAUUUGGGAGUUAUUUCCUGAAGCAUCUGGUAUUCUUUGAUGUAGGUAAUAUAUCAC